rnacentral:rRNA from 1 species
GACGAACGCUGGCGGCGUGCUUAACACAUGCCAGUCGAACGGAAGGGCCCUGCUUUUGUGUGGUUCUCGAGUGGCGAACGGGUGAGUAACACGUGAGUAUCCUGCCCUUGACUUUGGGAUAACUUCAGGAAACUGGGGCUAAUACCGGAUAGGAGCUCCUGCUGCAUGGUGGUGGUUGGAAAGUUUCGGCGGUUGGGGAUGGACUCGCGGCUUAUCAGCUUGUUGGUGUGGUAGUGGCUUACCAAGGCUUUGACGGGUAGCCGGCCUGGGAGGGUGACCAGCCACAUUGGGACUGAGAGACGGCCCAGACGGCUACGGGAGGCAGCAGGGGGGAAUAUGGCACAAUGGGCGGAAGCCUGAUGCAGCAACGCCGCGUGCGGGAUGACGGCCUACUGGUGGUAAACCGCUGUCGCCUGUGACGAAGCGUGAGUGACGGUAAUGGGUAAAGAAGCACCGGCUAACUACGUG